AAGCCAUCUUCUUUUAUAUACAAAAUUCUAUUCAUGAAUGCAAGGUCAUUUUUAAAAGGGAAGAAAAUAUAUUCAAAAAAUGAUGAAAUACCAAAUCAUAUUAUAUCAACUCUGUGAACUUUUACAACAAGAACAAGCCUUCGAAGCUACCAAAGCAGGUAUGAAAGAACUUAAACACAUCUUCCUCUCCCAGAAAACUGCACUGUUAAACUGUCAUUUUAACGUGAACUAGGAUGUUUAAGAAAGAACAUUGUCCGAAGGCUAAUUGUCCAAUUCGAACCAACUUUUGUCGUUAACCAGUAAACAUCAUUCUAAAACACUGCUUAAAGGAUAUUUCUCACACCUUUAAACCUAAAUUCAAUGUAGUCUCAUUGCUUCUGUGUAUUAAAAGUUAUAAUACUUCAGCGUGCAAUAAAAAUUCUUUAUCUUAAUGCUA